GUAGUUGUGGCCAAGUGGUAAAGGCAAUGGACUAGAAAUCCAUUGGGGUUUCCCUGUGCAGGUUUGAAUCCUGCCAGCUACA
rnacentral:tRNA from 1 species